UGUGUGUGUUUUGUACUGACUGGGCGGAAAAUCGGCUGGAGGGGGGACCUCCUCGCAACUUGAACCUCAGUUCCCGGAGAGCCGGCCCAGGCCCGCGCUCUUGUCCACGGCCAGCCUGGGCCGCCGGAGCCGAGGCCUUUUGUGUGUUCUAGGCCUCCGGCUCCGUGCACGAGGCCCCACUGACAAAAUUAUUCCCCUUUGUUUUAAAACCAAAGGACAGGCCAACUUUUGAGUCCGGUUCUCCUCGGCCGCGCCUUUGUCGUGGAGGCACAGCCCCGCGCCUUGGUCAACUCUGUUCUUUUCAGGGCUGAACCCGACUCUUUCUGGAACCCUGGUGUUGCUGGCCGCCUGAAUACAUUCUCCCCUUACCCUUCCCGGGAAGAAAAUGGGCAUCCUUCCGUAGGCGAAGACAUAUGAGCCACCACCACCCGUGUCCCCAAACCGCCUUCCCGGUGGGGACCUCAGUUCCCUCGCUGUGCCAGCUUCUUGGUGAAAGGGACCUCGAGCGUUCGCCGGCCUCUGCCACCGGCUCGGGAAGCCCUGGCCGGAUCUGGGGCUUAAAAGCGCCAGUUUUCCAGGUCCCGGGUCUGGCAACCAGGGAGCUCCCGGCCCGGGCACCGCGAAAACCCGGAGAGGCUGCGCCCGGGACAUCCGUUCUCGCCAUCCCUCUGGUGCUGCGACUGGCUCAGCCACGAUUCGGCGCCGAGCCGAGGUUCAGCCAGCCCAGCCAAGAGGGGUCCCGACCCUCCAGGAAGACCAAGGACGCGGCGCCCAAGCCCGAACGCGGCAGGGACAAGAGCGCUGGGUGGGCAGAGCCAGGGCGGAAGCAGCAGGCUCGGCCCGGAGGAUCCCGGCGCGUCUCGGCUCCGCCUCCGGCCCUGGCCGCUUUCCCCGGCCCGGGUCGGGUCUUCCAUUCCACUGUUUGUCUCGGAGAGGUCGGAGACGUGCUCGGUGCACAGGGGGCCGGAUACGGCCAUAAAUUUUCAUGCGGGACCUCCUUCCCGUCGCUCACACGCCGCUGCUCCCGGCCGCCCUGGCAUCCCGGGCCGCACUGGGCGCCCUGCUUUCCCCGCCAUGGCCUGGGGUUUCCUGGAGCGGCGCGGGGAGUCAAGGCCGGAGCGUCCCCAUUCGCCAAAGAGAGGGAACAGCCUCGCCCCGUUCUGUGCCACCGCCUUCCAUCCCCGCGGUUGCUGGACCCCUGAGGCUGCCCGGGCCUCACUGGAUCUCCGCCUGGGGUAGGGGUACCGGGGCCAGGCACUUACUCCUAGGAAGGUUCGUUGAGGCUGGAAUGGGCACACGGCCACCUGCUUGAGCCCAACUCCCGCACCGUUAAGGGGUGACGCCAGGGUUAGGAUCAGAGUGCCUUUGCAGAUCUCAGCCAGCUGCUCCUCUCCGAAGACCCUGCUUUAAUCCCACGCCAUCGUUCUGCCCUCAAGAGUCCUCUGCAGGCGCACGAUAUAGGGGAGGUGGGCUUGUGUGUGUGUGUGUGUGUGUGUGUGUGUGCAUGCGGGAUGAGGACCAAGCAGGGUGUCUGCGGUAGCCGGGCCCGGAGGGGGGCUCGUGUACCUCCCCACCCCGCGCCAGCCCAUUUCUCCCUUUAUGCCAGGGAUACCCUGGACUUUUCGCCUCCCAGUCGGCACCCCUAUCCGCCACCAGCUUUGGCGUUUAUAGCCGAACCAUCGGGAAAGCAGGAAUUGGUGGAGCGCUGGUGGCAGCCUGGUAGGGGUGGUGGUCUUUCUACCUGAGCAGUCGCGGAGCACCCGGAGGGCAGACCCAGAGAAGGUGCGUGGUCCUCUAACGAGAUGCGCGCAAGUGACACCACGUGGCUUCCAAGCGAGGUCAGAAGAGGAGACACCAGGCUCGCGUGGAACCCUGAGCCAGCAGGGGAGAAGCUGGACUGCCCGAGGCCACCACGCACUUAGGAAGCUCCACCCACAUGCUGAGGCCCCCAGUAGUCUCUCCAGGGGACAGAAGGCUCUGCCCAGGGCACGCCCACAGCCAGCAUCCACUGCCGACACGUGUGAGCAGAAAGGAGCCUCCUCAGAGCUGCGUGAGCGAGGCCUGGGAGCUCCGUGACCGCCCAGGUCACGCGCAGGAGGGGCUGAGCUGGGACUGGAACUCAGUUCUAUUUCCCCCCCGCCGCCCGGCCGCCCUCCUUGGUGGGUGCUUGAAUGACCACAGAAGAAAACGGUCUGGACUGUGGAGCCAGCCACCCAUUUGCGAUGUUGGCAAAGCCGCUUCCCUCUCUGAGCCUCAGUUUGCCUGUCUGUGAAAUGGGGCUAACGUACUCCUUUCCCAGGAUCAGAGGGGGAGGGCGGGUGCAUGCCUGUGCUGAGUGUGCAGAUGGUGACCGAUGCCCUCAUCUUUCUGAACACCGGCAGGUGUUCUGAUAGCCAAGGGGGCCUGGGAGCCCAUGCAGCAGGGUGACCGCCACCUCACUCCCUCCGGAGGCUGGUGAUGGCUGGGUACCGAGCAGGUGCUCAGGAAAGGAUGGCUUCACAGCUGGGCUGUGGCCAGCCCAGUCCCCAAGCCACUGCCCCGAUGCUUCUUGAGCAGGACAGGACCGAAGCCAGCUGCACAGCUCUCCUGUCGCUGUCACGACCAAUAGCUACUCACUGGGUGGCUUCAGACACCAGACGCUUAUUCUCUUACGGUUCAGGAGUUCAAAAUCAAGGUGUCAACAAGGUUGAUUCUUUCUUGGGACCUGUGGUGGACAGUCUGCCCCAAGCCUCUCUCCCGCGUCUGGGGGAGACCGGCGCCCCUCGGCCCUCCUGGGCGUGAGUCCGGGUCCCCCCAGCCACUGCUGCCACAGUCACACGGCUGCCUUCCCUCUGGGUCUGUCUUCACGUGGCGUUCUCCUCUUAUAAGGACACCAGUCAUAUUUGAUUAAAGGCCUGCCGUGCUCCAGUGGGACCGCA